rnacentral:lncRNA from 1 species
UGCUUGCAUGAGAGUGCGGGCGCGGCGGGCGGCGUCGCGGCGGCCGGAGCAAUCGCAGCGGCUGCACGCGUGCUCUGUCUCGCGCGGCAGACACGUGUCACCAGACGCGCACAGUGUUUACACUCUCUAUCCGUGAUGUGAAUAUGUGACAGUGCACUGACAUGACUAGGUGGUCGGCGCUCUUGCCUGCAAGAAAAAGCCGUCGUGCCGCCCGCCGCGCUGCCCCGGCGGCUGCAAGCCCAAGUACUGGUGACCUGCACGAGACACACUUCUACACGGAGGAAAAAUACGUGCGAGGAAACCGAAGAUUAUGUGGUACGAGUUGGCCGCGUCGCUGUGGUGGUGGGUGCUCUGCCUCGUGGUGGGCGCGAGCGGCUGCAAGAAGAAGACCAUCUGCCGCCCGCCGCCCGGCGGCAAGCCCGGCUGCGGCGGCCGCGGCCGCCCGUGACGUCACGCGCCAGCCGACGCUCAGCUGCACCAAGCCCUUAACGUAUGUUCUGCGCGAGUCAUGUUCUCAAGACCAUAUUCUAGUGUACCUAACAAACAUCACUGGAGCAUGCCUGGAGCAAGUUCUUCCAGAACGCACAAAUGAUGGCAACUAAGAGGAGGGAGCUCAAUCUACUGCACAUACAAGCUUUCAUCCAAGAAUCGAUUCUCAGGUGCGCGGACGGCGAGCGCCGGCGCCCCGGCACUCAGCGCCGCCGACACCACACCGUCUGUCUUACGGCGCUUUUGUAGUCGUCAUAUACUUACUAUUACCCUUUUAUACAUAAAUCAGAAAAUAUUCAAUAAAAACACAAAAGGCAA